GUUUGUCUACAAUCCCUUCCUUUAUUUCCUUAUGUUAUUAUUACAUUAUAACUUUGAACUGCACAGGUAUCUUUACAUUUUUUGCAGAUGAACACAAUACAAUGUGGAACUAUCUCUGCCACAGCGAACUGAGGUGCCCCGCUUGAUAAGGACAUCAAACUCACAAGCUAGAGUCAAUGAAUCCGCUCUUCGCUUUAGCUCGCCAACCAGUUUUUCUUUCAAUUUUGUUUUAAGAAGUCACUUCUUUUGAGAAUCUACAUUCUAGAAACACAUGCAAAUUCUUCCGCAUCCUAAGGUCGCCAUAAUGCGAUACUAGGACAAUUCUAAGGGUCAGUCCCCUACAACGAGCUGAUAUGAUCUAUGACAGCACAUAGAUGCAUUCGUGUAGAGUCUCGAUUAUGGGUGUGUUGCGGCCGCCACAUUUAUAAUCAAGAAGCUGCAAAAGUACAUCCCGUCAUCAGAAAGACCUUCUUCAACAGCAAUCUUUCCCAAAAUUUGACCACAUCUUCCUAACAACAUCUAGUGUCACCAUAAUUCGACAGUCGGACAAAAUUUUUGAGAUAUAUCCUUCAAAAUUUUCUAUCUUCUCGUUUUCUUUGAAACACAUCUGAAUUAAUUCUCGUUCUCUUCAACAUGUAGGGAACUCAAAGUCAAGCCAGUCAUAUUCCAUGUUAGCUAUUUUCGCUCGUGCUGAAACUACAAUCCUUUCCAUCUCCAGAACCUCGUGUUACCAUAACUACAACACUGGGACAAAUUUUUUAGGAUCAUUCAAAAAAUUUCAACAACUCGACCUUCCAAAUCCCCAACAAAAUUAUCAUUCCCCUGUCUAUAACAACAAAGCCAGUGUCCUCAUAAUUCAGACACUGAGGCGAAUUUUGGAGACCUCUCCAAAUUUUACCAUAUCCUUGUUUGAACUACAUCGACAUGAUUUUCUUAUGGCCCGAGAUAUGUAGGCUACUCAGGAACCAGAAGUUCGGUCGAAUUCAUAAACCCGCCUCUCGAGUCCCAAAAAAUUACUCUUUUUCAGUUGUCUCUUCCCAAACCAAAUCUGAUUUACUCGUCGGGGCAAAAUUGAGUUUAUGUCAACGUCUUUUCCCAAAGACUCUUUCAUCAUCCCUGGUCGAAGAGGGACAAGCUGUUGACACCCAAUUUUAGCCCUCCUUUUUUAUUUUAUUAAUUUCACUAUGCUUCUCAGUCGUGAAAAUUCCCCGAAAAUGAGUUUGGAAUAUUUUCGCUAAUUAUCACACUAUUUUUCGAGAUAUAUUUUGCUAAAACCAAGAACAUUUUUAUGGUCUCUUAAAAAUGACCAAACAUCAUAUUUUCUAAUUGGAAAGGAUGAAAUUUUUUAUAAUUAAAAUCAUUCAACAGAAAAAUAAUAAUGUUGAUAUUCGUAUAUCAACAUUGGCAUUGACAUUUUUCCCUUUAAUCCUGCUUAUUACCGUAUUAGUCAUCUUUUACUCUAUUUUUAAAUUAAGUACGUAUAUUAAAUUACUGGUAUUAUAAUUUAUAUAGGUGUAUAUAUUUUUGGAAACUAAUUGAGACAAAGAAGCAUAUUUUUAAUUGAUUGAAAUAGAGGGGGCUUAGAAAUUAAUUCAUCUACCCAAAGAUAUUGGGCCAUCUCACUAAACCAAAUCAGCAGCCCAAUAUCCCCCUCAACCGCCCCAGCCCAAUUCUCGCCGACCCGGCCCAAAACCACCUAAAAAUCAGCCUAACCAAACAAAAUCCCUAACUAUUUUUCCAUCCCAACCAAACGAUCCCCUAACUCUUUUCCCCUUCAACCAACAGUUAACCAAACGACGCCGCCAUCCCACCCCGUCACGUCACUUCCAUCACCUCGUCAGCACUACCACACCGUCGGACCGCUGGGUUAACGUGGUCAGCGACGCCACUGGCCUCACAGGUCACCUUUUCUCCCGUCACCCAUCUCCCUUUUUCUGAAAUGGAGCUUGACGACUCGUAAAAAGGUCGAUUGAGACCUCUGAGAACGAGAAAGAGCAAAUCCCCAGCCAUCAAACCCAUCUGAAAAGUUCUCGGCUGAAACAACAAGCUUUCAAGUGGAUUCGGAGACUCGACGACGACGAUAGCCUUAGUUCGCUGUCACAGAGAAGGUAAUCACAUUCGCCCUAUCUUCGUCUUUAAUUUUAUAAGAAGUAGAAAUGUAGUCGUUCAAGUAUUUCUCGUCGUUUAUUUGGUUUAGUUGGCUGCUGGAAUAUGUGUUCUCCUCAUUUGUUGUAAAUUAGCGUGAAACGACUAAUUUCGUCGAAUAUGUGUUUAACUCCCGUCGCCCCGUCGCUGCCGUUAAAAGCUAACAUUUGAACCCCAUUUUAUUCCUAUCGUUCAUUUUCGCAUUAUCAAAUAAGUGUUUAUUUUGGUUUGUUUUCAGAAGAUUUAUUUUAAAUAAGUAGCUUAAUGUUGGUAGAAAAAUGGUUGCUCCCAUAUUUGGUAGAAGUGACUAUAGCUUGAAAGGAUUAUUUCCUACAUUUUAAGGGCUGAAAGACGCCAUCUCUUUUAGUAAAUUUGUUGUUGCUAGUUGGCCUGAAAGAGGCUGCAGUUUUGUGAAACAAAUUGCUACAUUUCACCAAAAAUGGGUUGUUUGUGUUACUGAGAAGCUAGAUAUUUUGAAGCUUGAAAUAUGGCCAAGCUGUUUAACCUACCACUAGUAGUUGUUAUUGUUACUCUUGAACAGAUUUGCUGCGUUACUGAGCUAAAUUUUGGCUUCAAUUUAAGGUUAUCUUGUUGUCUCUGCUGAACUUAAGAAAAGUUACUGUUUUGACAUAAAAGAAGGCUACCGUUUUUUUUUUACUAAAAAGUUACUGUUUUCUAGUCAAAAAGUUACUAUUUUGAUUAAAAAAAAACUAUUGUUUUGAGUAUGUAAAAGUUACUAGUCUUGAAAGGAAAAUUUACCGAUUCGUGAAAUUUAAAUUCGUCAAAUCUGUGUUUGACUUCAUCGUUUGGGUUAAUUUCUCUAUUUUGCGAGUCUCCCUCGUUAUAUGGCUAACUAAGUUAGUAAUCAUCUUUGUCCUCGUCUUACAUUUUAUUUUCGGGUUAUCAAACUAAAAAGAAAACGUAGUGAUAUUUCUUAUUUAUUUCGAAUGUAAUCUUCCUUUCUCGUCUUGGUUCUAUUUAUCUCGAAUCUUUCCGUAAUUAAGAGUGAUUUGGUUUGUUAAAUGUUAGGUUGCUGAUUUGGAAGUAUUAUUUUCCCCUUUGUCCUAGCAUUUUAUCUUUUGUUCUGUUAUUCCAAGAUUCAUGUGGAGUGUCUAGUUGCAAUCGUGUUAGAGUUAAGUAAUUAGUUUAAUUUCCCUUCAUGUGUUAAGUGUGCUUGCUAUUUGUCUCAGUUUAAGUUAGAUCAGGUUCAAUGUUUAAAAAUUGAGAUUAAUGUACGUGUUUAAGAUUGUACACUGUUUUGGUUGCUGCCCACUGCUGCUGCGUUUUUUGGACCAAAACAAUUUCCAUCAUAUUAGUUGCUGCCCACUGCUGCUGAAUUUUUUUGGGCCAAAAAAAAAUUGCUACUUUGCUGCGCUCGGUUGCUGAUUUCUGAUGGAACGUUUGGCUAUGUUCUUGGCCCACCGUAAUUACUUUUCUAAGGCAGUGUUGCUACACUAUAAGGGUACUUCGUUGCUUCCUUUGAGGGCAGAUUCCUACUGCUUUUGAAUGGGUUGAUUGAUGUGUUCUCAGUCACAUCUUUCGUUAAAAAUGGUUGUUUGUUGUCUUGUUUGAUGAGCUACUAUUUUUGCUAAAAAUAACAAAUGCCACACCUGAUAAGCUUGCUGCACUUUAGAAUAAGACAGAUGUUGUUUUUCCUGAGGCUAAAUGCAUACUAUUUUGGGCAUUUUGUGGCUGAAAUGAGUUUGCAUUCUUCAGACAGUUUGGAUUAAUUGUUAUCAUAUCUUGAGCUGCUCCAUUCCUGGAUUCCUUACUGGUAUAUCAUGUACUGUUGCUAUGCUCUUAAAAUGCUACAUUUUGAGCGAGAUUGUUUACUGUACCUGGGGUAAAAUUGUGUUUCAUCCAAAUCUACUUUGCUGCUAUGGCACUUGGCCAUUGUGUUGUUGCAAUUUGAUAAACUUACUACUGCUCCAUCCCUUUAUUUUAAUAAUAUAAGCUUGUCUUUCAGCUCCUCUUUUAUCCCUUGCGUUCAAUGUUUUCCUUUCUAUCACUAAGAGAAUAACUGAAACAUCCAAUCCUUUUUUAAGUUAACAAUGCGUAAUGUCUCGAAAUUUGAUUGCCUUACAAUUUAUAUUGCUUCUAAUCCUUUUCUUUCUUUUGUUUUCUUUGCGUAUGUACGUGGGAGUAUAUUGGAGUUGUAUGACAACUCCAAAUCUGCCCAGGUCAUAGGAGCAGGCAGCCAGCAGAUUUAUUUGCUCGUGUCUAACAGUCUUUGCUCGCGUCUAGCCGUCCCCGAUCUCUCUCGUGUCUUAUGUUUCGACGCCUUCUUUCCUCUCUUCAAAGUUUUAUGUCUUUGUAUUGAUGUGUCGUUACAUAUUUUACUAACAUUUUGUGAGUUUUGUAUUUGCAGUAUUUAUUUCUUGUUUUGGGCGUGAAUUCUCAAGAAUGGUUAAGAAGAAUAGUUUGCUUAAUGUCU